rnacentral:rRNA from 1 species
GACGAACGCUGGCGGCGUGCUUAACACAUGCAAGUCGAACGGAAAGGCCCUGCUUUUGUGGGGUGCUCGAGUGUCGAACGGGUGAGUAACACGUGAGUAACCUGCCCUUGACUUUGGGAUAACUUCAGGAAACUGGGGCUAAUACCGGAUAGGAGCUCCUGCUGCAUGGUGGGGGUUGGAAAGUUUCGGCGGUUGGGGAUGGACUCGCGGCUUAUCAGCUUGUUGGUGGGGUAGUGGCUUACCAAGGCUUUGACGGGUAGCCGGCCUGAGAGGGUGACCGGCCACAUUGGGACUGAGAUACGGCCCAGACUCCUACGGGAGGCAGAAGUGGGGAAUAUUGCACAAUGGGCGGAAGCCUGAUGCAGCAACGCCGCGUGCGGGAUGACGGCCUUCGGGUUGUAAACCGCUUUCGCCUGUGACGAAGCGUGAGUGACGGUAAUGGGUAAAGAAGCACCGGCUAACUACGUG